rnacentral:rRNA from 1 species
UACGAAGGGGGCUAGCGUUGCUCGGAAUCACUGGGCGUAAAGGGCGCGUAGGCGGAUCUUUAAGUCGGGGGUGAAAGCCCAGGGCUCAACCCUGGGAUGCCGGUCGAUACUGCCGGACUAGAGUUCGGAAGAGGCGAGUGGAAUUCCUGGUGUAGCGGUGAAAUGCGCAGAUAUCAGGAAGAACACCCGUGGCGAAAGCGGCUCUCUGGAACGGUACUGACGCUGAGACGCGAAAGCGUGGGGAGCGAACAGG